ACAGUGUUUGAUAACACGCUCGAAUGUAGAAAUUUAUAUUGCUUCCAUUAAACAUACAACUAAACCUACAUUUUUGCACCUUAAUCAACAAUUAACACAAUAACAUUGAUUCAGAAUACAAACCCUAGGCUCAACACUUGAUAAUCUUGACUCACCAGAAGCUAACUAGCAUAUACUUGUCAAUUUAAAGCCUAUUUUGUAGAUCUGCAACACAACAAAGGUGCUGCUCACUUAGGAGGGAGGGACCGAACAUGUGAUCCCAAAAUAAACUAAAAUAACGCUCAAAGAAGACAGUCAAGCAUCAACUCGUAUUUUCCAAAUGAUCUCAUAGGAACAGAUUUUACAGAAGAAACAAAACGAUAGAUAACUCAUGUUCCUCGAGACCAUACUUGAAUAGCAGUCAUUAGGUCUCAAAUAAACAUCACGCAUCCAAGGAAGAAAAUUAUAGGGUGGUCUGAACUAAAUGAGAAUGAGAACAGUAUACACCAAUGCACGUCGAACACCAUUUCUAACUCCUCCAGAUAGUUCACUUGAAGCCACACAAUUGAUUUUUCUCAUACUCGUUUUGGCACUGCUAACCCAACAACACGUUUACACUAACUGAACCAAACACUUCAGUUAAGUUCUUAAACAUGUCGAUUUUUGUUUAAAGAAACAAAAAAAAUGGAUAUCAGAUCCAAUCGAUCAUUACAGAUAUUCAUUUAGCCAAAAAUAGGCAUUCAUUUGAACUCAGAAAUGGCAAGCCACCACAAAGAGAUUCAUUAACUAGUGAAUAGACCAUAAAUGCAAGUUCUCAAAAUUGUAACAUUCUUGAUGCACUCGAUACAAAAGAUCGAAAUUCAUACCUUGAGAGCAACACAACAAAGGGAAAAAGAAAAUAAAUUUCUGAUUUCUGAGGAAUGAAACCACCACAGAACCAAGAGAGAACAGCUAUAGCUCAGUAAACAGCAGCAGAAUACUAAAUUAAACUGAUAUAAAGUGAAACAUGAAAUUUCCAUCAUAUGUUUUUUCUGUUAUGAUAUCUAAAAAAGAACGAACGAAAAAAGCAGAAGAAAAACUUGAACACUGAUUUUCCUCCUUUAAACUUUCUCUAGAAGAAAUCUCUCCAGAACCGAAAAUCCCUCUCAACAUCUUCUUCCCCACCCCCCACCCCCCACAAGAAAUUACCUCACCUUAUAUAUAUACCUCAAAAGAUCUCAAAGCUUCUAUGAUUCCUUCCCAAGAAAUCUCCCAAAAAUCCUCCAAAUUAGAAUUUGAUUCUUACCCCUUUUUGAUGGAUAAAAUGAAAAAAAGAGGGAGUAGAUCAAAUUUCACUCAAUCCUACGCCUCCCAUUUUUCCUAAUUUCCAUCUAAAAGAGUAAAAAUUUGAAAAAACAAAGAGAGGGCAUGUGAGGGAGAGGGAAUCUACCAAAAACCAUUAGAAAUGGUAAAAGGAGAGUGGGAGGGAAGGUGUGGUUGGAGAUUGGGUUCACUCGCCAUGGAUUUGGGACUUAGGGUUCAUCAUUCAUUAGUUAUUUG
rnacentral:lncRNA from 1 species